CUUCGCCGCCGGCCGACGGGCGCCAUUGUGCGGCGCGCGCCGGGACUCUGCCCACUUCCACCAGAGACACAUUGAGAAGGAGGAAACUAUGGCCUCCAGGCUUCCGACGGCCUGGUCCUGUGAACCAGUGACCUUUGAAGAUGUAACACUGGGUUUUACCCCGGAAGAGUGGGGACUGCUGGACCUCAAACAGAAGUCCCUGUACAGGGAAGUGAUGCUGGAGAACUACAGGAACCUGGUCUCAGUGGAACAUCAGCUUUCCAAACCAGAUGUGGUAUCUCAGUUAGAGGAGGCAGAAGAUUUCUGGCCAGUGGAGAGAGGAAUUCCUCAAGACACCAUUCCAGAGUAUCCUGAGCUCCAGCUGGACCCUAAAUUGGAUCCUCUUCCUGCUGAGAGUCCCCUGAUGAACAUUGAGGUUGUUGAGGUCCUCACACUGAACCAGGAGGUGGCUGGUCCCCGGAAUGCCCAGAUCCAGGCCCUAUAUGCUGAAGAUGGAAGCCUGAGUGCAGAUGCCCCCAGUGAGCAGGUCCAACAGCAGGGCAAGCAUCCAGGUGACCCUGAGGCCGCGCGCCAGAGGUUCCGGCAGUUCCGUUAUAAGGACAUGACAGGUCCCCGGGAGGCCCUGGACCAGCUCCGAGAGCUGUGUCACCAGUGGCUACAGCCUAAGGCACGCUCCAAGGAGCAGAUCCUGGAGUUGCUGGUGCUGGAGCAGUUCCUAGGUGCACUGCCUGUGAAGCUCCGGACAUGGGUGGAAUCGCAGCACCCAGAGAACUGCCAAGAGGUGGUGGCCCUGGUAGAGGGUGUGACCUGGAUGUCUGAGGAGGAAGUACUUCCUGCAGGACAACCUGCCGAGGGCACCACCUGCUGCCUCGAGGUCACUGCCCAGCAGGAGGAGAAGCAGGAGGAUGCAGCCAUCUGCCCAGUGACAGUGCUCCCUGAGGUAAGCGGGGAGUAUCACCCUGUUUUGGUCACAGCAUCUCCUGUGAGGCAGGCCCACCCCUGAGGCAUCCACUCUGCCCUGGGCUUUCCUAAGACCUCCCACAGGCUGGGACAUUCUGAGAUUCUGAGCUCUUAGGUCUGUGCUGAAGCAAUCUGAGUAUGAAGAGCAGCCCUGCCCUCCAGCCACUGUGGCAUCACUGGAGACAACGCAUGGUGACCCGGGAGCUGAGAAAGCAGGAGGCAAAAGGGAAGGGACUAAGUGUUUACAGAGACUUGAGAGGUGGAACUACCACAGGCAGGCACAUCUGUAUCCAGGUCAG
rnacentral:sRNA from 1 species